rnacentral:rRNA from 1 species
AACGAACGCUGGCGGCAUGCCUAACACAUGCAAGUCGAAUGAGACCUUCGGGUCUAGUGGCGCACGGGUGCGUAACGCGUGGGAACCUGCCCUUAGGUUCGGAAUAACUCCCCGAAAGGGGUGCUAAUACCGGAUAAUGUCUUCGGACCAAAGAUUUAUCGCCUUUGGAUGGGCCCGCGUUGGAUUAGCUAGUUGGUAGGGUAAAAGCCUACCAAGGCGACGAUCCAUAGCUGGUCUGAGAGGAUGAUCAGCCACACUGGGACUGAGACACGGCCCAGACUCCUACGGGAGGCAGCAGUGGGGAAUAUUGGACAAUGGGCGAAAGCCUGAUCCGGCAAUGCCGCGUGAGUGAUGAAGGCCUUAGGGUUGUAAAGCUCUUUUACCCGGGAUGAUAAUGACAGUACCGGGAGAAUAAGCUCCGGCUAACUCCGUG